rnacentral:sRNA from 1 species
AGUGGGCGUGGUGGCGCACACCUGUAAUUCCAGCCUCUCUGAAGGUUGAGACAGGAGGUUCGCAAGUUCAAAGCCAACCUCAGCAAAAGUGAGGCACUAAGCAACUCAGUGAGACCCUGUCUCUA